CCUAGAAAGCUCCAGCUGCAGAGCUGUACUUAUAUUCUUUAUUUUCUGCAGUCCAAUGGUGAAAGAGGCUGCGGAAAUCUCCACGGACGAAGAAUCAGAUGGUGUUGUUAUAUGCCCACCAGAUGAGAACACUCGUGGUUGCGAGGAAGUUGUUAGUGGCAGUGAUCAUGAUAGUUCUCCAGAGGGCCAAGUAACUUGUGUAGAACCGGCCAUAGACGGGGAAACAGGGGAAGACAAGCUUGUAAACCAAGAUUCACUGAAGUUGAUCGAUCAAGAAAUGUCUGCUCUGCCUAAGUCACCAACAAAGCCUAGUAUGUCUGGAUCAGAGAGGUCUAAGCGCACUGUUCCUCAACCAUUUGCACUUUCAACUCAAAGAAGGGCUUCUGGUGGAGGAAAUGGCGGUGUGGCUCAUCCAUCCAGUAACGGAGAAAAAUCUGGGCAAGGAAGCAGUGCCUCUCCAGCAAGCAUGAUAAAGAAGGUAUGUAGGCGAUUUAUUUAUGCUCUGUUGCACUGUAUCAUGAUGCUCCUAAUAUCAUGUGCCUCUACUCUUGAUUUUAUUAGACCACAGUUUUUAAUUUGAUUUGUGGCCCUAACUUCCAUGCAUGCUUCAUUGCUAUGGAACGUUAACUAACUAGACCAUAUAUAAGCAAAUUUGGCUAGCCAACUUAUCGGUUGAGGUUUUGCUCGCCCAUGGAUUGGCCAUCAUUGGCUAGAAAAAUGAACUAUAGUUGCCAAAAAGUUGCUCCUCAUCGAAACAAAGACCAAUAUUUUGGACAUAUUUUUUUUUUGUAUUGUACACUUUGGUCACAAUCCGAACAUACCCUACCCCAGAUCAUAUGAUCUGGUGAUGCUUGGAAGAGUGUAAUAUCUUCUGAUUGAAGAGCUCCUUUGUAUGUUGAAGUUUAUUUGUCUUUCUUUUGUUGUGGAACAUCUUAAAAAAAAUAUGAACCUGAAUAUGUUUCAUACUACAUGUUAAUCGAUGACAUGUGUCUUUUCUUUGUUCCUGACUGAUGUGUCUAUUUGGCUGAAAAUGUCAUCCUGUAAGCUUUUUGUAGAGAGUUUGUUCUAUUGACAGAACUAAUCUCGGUAUUACUGCAGAGUACUCUGGUGACACCCAAGAAGAUGUCGCAACCUGGCCAUACAUUUCAACCUCAAGAUGACGACUCCUGUUCAGUGACUUCUUCGUAUCCUUUUCUAAUUUAUAGUUUACUACACUCUACACCGCUCUAUCAUUAUGUACCUGUAAUUUUAUAUUUUGGAAGAUGUUCUUUCAAUUUUCCAUACCAAAGCUCAAGCCUGAGAUGACUGGAAAAUUACAUUGUUCUGCCAAUUUGUUUCUUACGUUUUCUGGAAGAUUUUCCAACUUGUACCAUGAACCCACAAGCUGUAUCUUCUCAGUUGAAUUGCUCUGUGAACUGAAAACAUUGCAACGUGGUGUUUCUCUCCUCGUAGCAGUUUGAAACAAUUGAUUAUGUCCUUUCCUGAGCUGCACAAAGAACCACAGCUUCGGCACGAGCUGGCAGAACUAAGACAACUGUUGCCUUUGCUCCUACAUUUGUAUGUGACGACCGUGCUGACAAGAGGAAAGAGGUGUGUGUGCAAUCUGAUUGCAUUGUGCCAAGACAAGAUGAUCAUAACCAUUAACAGCUAUUAGCCCUUCUUUUUUAAUCUGGUAGACUCACAGUAUUACUAAUUCUUCAGUUCUACACGAAAUUAGAAGAGAAGCACAAAGCUUUGGAGGCUGAGAAGAAUGAGGCUGAAACAAGGAAAAAGGUAAGAACUAAGAACAUACUUUUGUUUUGUAUCAUGGAGCAUUUGAGUUAUUUGUGCUCUGUUAAGUUCCCCUGGUAAAAGAAAAAUGUCUUGAUUUACAAGGGCUAUUUUUUGUUCUGUACUAUACUUAAACAAAAGGAAUUUUCAGCAUUACUGGCCGAUUAGAUGCUUCAUUGCAUACGUUUAUAUAAAAAGUAUUGGAAUUGUUAUAGAACUAUGAUCCCUACGAUGAAAAUGUAGUUUUGUGCGUGGGCUUUUUUAUGUGUGCCGCUCAACGGUUGUAACGGCUUUCGCCCAGUUUUCCAUAAUUAACUGAGCAAUCUGGUUUUCGCUCGGUUUUCCCUAAUUAACUGAGCAACUCUUUUCUUCUUAAUGAGUGCAGGAUAACUGCCAUUUCGAAUAAAAAAAAUGUAGUUGCGUUAGAGUAGGACUGCAUCUGUACAUGUCGGGUGUUUAUUUGUACAUUCCCACUUCGUGAUACCAGUGCAUGUGUAUCAAGCUUAUGGAAUAACAUAGUGUUCAACCCAGGUUAGACUCUUCUGAAUUCUAGCCCAUUCAUAAUGGCUUUGCUACUGUCAAUGUUCUUGACCAACGCAUAUCCUUGAACUUUUUGUUGUUCAAAUCUUUCUAUAAGACAGUUAUGUAUAUACAACGAGAAUUGUUAAAUAUUGUUACUAACAUUUCUCAUCAUUUUUCCUGUAGGAUGAGCAAGAAGCGGCUUUAAAACAACUAAGGAAGUCCUUGGUCAUCAGAGCAAAACCCAUGCCAAACUUCUACCAAGAAGGGCCCCCUCCAAAGGCUGAGCUUAAGAAGGUAAUUCCGACAUCUCUAUUUCCGCACAAAUACUAUACCAGCAGUUGCUUAUACAUAUUUCAUAAAACACUAUGUAUAUUUAAUGCAUGUGGUGCUUUCUAGGAGAAUGCUGUAUAUAUCACUGAAAUGAGCCAGCUCCUUAAUUAGUUAAUGUGCUGGGGUUUUCACCGAACAGCACAUGUUGCGCCUAAUACAAAAGCAAUCCAUUCAAUGAUAUCAUAGGAGUAAUUUGCUUCAUAAAGUUACAUCUACAAGGCCUUCCAUGUAGAGAGUAAAUAUCGAUGCAUAGUUUAUUUCUUGUAGCAUGUCAUCAGGGUAAUUC
rnacentral:lncRNA from 1 species